UGUUUACAUUCAACCCUAGAUUGGUUAUAAUUACUUGUAUUCGGCGGCUUUGCGUACAAUUCGUUACUUCUGUGGUCGAUUGCUAGUUUGUUUGGCUCAAUCUUCUUUUUUCAAUUGACAAGUUCGUAGAUUUAUAAGCUAUUUAUGUCGCUGUAGAGUAUCUAUUUGAUGGGUUGUCUCUAUGAGUUUAUGGCUGUGUAAUCUUAUGGUUGAGUUUAUGUUUUGAUCCAAUUUUGUGUGUCUAUACAAAGGGUUUUCUGGGUUACCAAACAAGAUUUAUGACUAAAUUUAUAAUCUGAACUUGAAUGCUUAAUAUUUUUGUUUUCUUCUGUGGUUUUAGUAAUUGACUAUUAUGUGUUCGAUUAUUUUCCUCAGAGAAUGGACUCUCUGCCUGAUGGCUAUUAUCCAAUACAUUUGAUGUUUAUGGUUAUUAAACUUACAUACAAAGUAAGUUGAUACAAAAAUAUGAAUAGCAUAUAUAAUAUGGAUGCUAAUAUAUGUGAGAUGUGUUAAAUUGGUUUUGGGAUUUUAUAUUAUUGGGAAUAUCAGGGACUUUAUUUCCUAAUCUAUCUACUCAACUUUGCUUUGAUCUUUAAAACAACUUUCUGUGCCUAAGAUUUUAUAAUUUUUUUUAUUUGAUCAUUAAUUGCACUGGUUGAUUCUAACCAAAUCUUUGGAUAGUUGAGGUACUCUGCAAUUGCUUUCAAAAUGCAUUGCAGAGUAUAUUCCAUGUGGAUUAAACAUUUUAAUUCAACUGUAGGACCUGUCAGAUGAUAGAGUUAUUUGUGUAGAUCCACUGAAAAUUUACUACCACAUUCCCAGUGGUAAGCCUCUCAACAUCUAGUUAUUAUUAGUCCUCAUUAAUUUCUAUUGUUUUACAUUCAACAUGGGCACUAGGAAGACCAAGUAUUGCCUUCUUCAUUUAUUUACAUCACUGAUCAAAAAAUUUCACCUCACAUGUCCUAACUCCAAAGGUAUUGACCAAGAAUUCAUUGCAGGGGAGAAAGAGAUUGUGCAGGGGAGCUAAUAUGGAUUUUUGUUGAUUCUUUAAUGCCUUGGUAAAUUUUAUAUGUUAAAUGUUCAUACCAUAUGCAUGUUUAAUUUUCUAUUUCAUUUUUGUAGCUCUUGGCCACUCUUAGUUCUCUUUGUUUAAUGUAUAUAAUUUUUGUUCUAAUUACUUGCAUUUUGUCAAAUCUUAAUUUUUAGAAACUACAUAAAGAUUGUGAAUUUUUUUGUUUGAUCUUUUCUUGUCAAUAUUAAGGAGUGUGUGAAGAUGGAAUAAACAUGCAAGUUCAUACCAAUGUUGAAUGUACAGUAGUUGGAUUCACUGGUUUUAAAUGAGUGUCAAUCUAAAAUUGAUCUAUUGCCUAGGCUUUUGCUAAUUUGCGUUGUAGUUCACCAAUUUGAUAUUUGGUUUGUGGAUUGGACCACUGAAGUCAUGUCCUGAGUCAUCUAUACUGUUACAGAAUCACAGAAAUGGAUAUUGAUAUUGUAUAUAUAUAUUUACAAGUGUCACUCCAGGUUUAAUAAGCACAUGCAAGAUCAUAUUUCUGAUGUUAGGCUAUUGACUAGAAGUGUAUAACCAUACAGACAAGUCUAUUGUGAAGAACUUCUCAUCAAACAAAAGUAGAAAGUGAAAUAAAAGAAAAUCAGUGUUUUGGAGGUGUGGGGUUCCAAGAUUCAGGGAGCAGUAGGCUAAAAGAGAACUAAUAUUCUUCUUCCAACUUCAUAAAAUUUUCCCAAGUGCUGUGUUAAUUUACAGUUCACUUUUUUCUUAGAUAUAUAUGCCAACCAAACCACUAAUAGUUAUGUAUAUAUAUUUUCACCUCUCUCAGUCCCUCAUUCUUGUCUGUGAGCGGCUAACGCAAGAGGAGUAAGAGUUUGAGACUUAAAAGAGAGAGAGAGAGAGAGAGAGAGUAAGGAAGUAGAACUUGAAAGCUAGCCUCAAGGUAAAUUACACACCCUUCUUCUCCUCUCCAAUCCUGCAUACUCUUCUUAAUCGACCUCCUAGCAUGUCCUGUGUGUGUAUGAAAUGUUGGUAUGCUUGGAAAUGGGGUGUAAUUUUAGGUGUUAGUAUGAACAAGUGACGCAACCUUGUAUUUUUUGCUGAUUUCAUGACUGCUGCAACUUUAUCACUCUUGGAAAAAUAUCAAACUUACUUCUUUUUCAAAACUGAAUGUAGGGGAUAAUCUUUGAGGUGUUUAGAGCAUGUGACAUUUUUGGUAGCCCCUAAUUAGAUGUUUUCAUAGUCUAAACAAUUUUCUUAAACAAUCUAGCCGUGUGUUUCGAGAAAACAGUCCACUUCGUGUAUUUUAAAAUAAAAAAAA